rnacentral:rRNA from 1 species
AGUGAACGCUGGCGGUAGGCCUAACACAUGCAAGUCGAACGGCAGCACAGUAAGAGCUUGCUCUUCCGGGUGGCGAGUGGCGGACGGGUGAGGAAUACAUCGGAAUCUACUUUUUCGUGGGGGAUAACGUCGGGACACUUACGCUAAUACCGCAUACGACCUACGGGUGAAAGCAGGGGAUCUUCGGACCUUGCGCGAUUGCAUGAGCCGAUGUCGGAUUAGCUAGUUGGCGGGGUAAAGGCCCACCAAGGCGACGAUCCGUAGCUGGUCUGAGAGGAUGAGCAGCCACACUGGAACUGAGACACGGUCCAGACUCCUACGGGAGGCAGCAGUGGGGAAUAUUGGACAAUGGGCGCAAGCCUGAUCCAGCCAUACCGCGUGGGUGAAGAAGGCCUUCGGGUUGUAAAGCCCUUUUGUUGGGAAAGAAAAGCAGCAGGUUAAUACCCCGCUGUUCUGACGGUACCCAAAGAAUAAGCACCGGCUAACUUCGUG